GCCGGAGUGGCGGAAUGGCAGACGCUUACGCCUCAAAAGCGUACGAUCGCAAGAUCAUGUGGGUUCAACUCCCUCCUCCGGCA
rnacentral:tRNA from 1 species